rnacentral:misc_RNA from 1 species
GUUAUGGUGACCUUCAUGCCGUCAACACUUUGGAAAUGGUCUUCAUCAUUUUCUACAUGCUCUUCAAUCUUGGCCUGACAGCUUAUAUAAUUGGUAAUAUGACCAAUUUAGUUGUUGAAGGAACUCGUCGCACUAUGGAAUUCAGAAAUAGCAUUGAAGCAGCAUCGAAUUUUGUUUGUCGAAAUCACUUGCCUCCUAGAUUAAAAGACCAAAUAUUGGCUUAUAUGUGCUUAAGAUUCAGGGCUGAGAGUCUAAACCAGCAGGAAUUGAUUGAACAGCUUCCCAAGACAAUUUGCAAAAGCAUAAGGCACCAUUUGUUUUUACCAACAGUGGAGAAAGUUUAUCUUUUUAAAGGUGUCACAAAGGAAAUUCUGUUACUUUUGGUUGCAGAUAUGAAGGCUGAGUACAUACCUCCAAGAGAGGAUGUAAUAAUGCAGAACGAAUCACCAGACGAGUUGUACAUCAUAGUGUCAGGGGAGGUGGAAAUGAUUGAAUCUGAAAUGGAGAAUGAGCCAACUGUUUGGACUUUCAAAUCUGGAGAUAUGAUAGGAGAAGUAGGGGCAUUGUGUUGUAGACCUCAGAGCUACACGUAUCGAACCAAAACACUUUCACAGCUCUUGAAGAUAAGAACUAGUAAUUUGAUUGAAGCAAUGAAAACCAGACAAGAAGAUAAUAUCAUCAUGAUCAAGAACUUCCUUCAGCAUCAUAAGAAGCUCAAAGGCUUAAGGCUUGGAGAUUUACUUCAUGGAGUGGGGGGAGAUUAUGGUGAUCCAAACAUGUAUGUUAACUUGCUAACUGUUGCUAGUACAGGUAAUGCUACUUUCCUUGAAGAACUUCUCAAGGCUAAAUUAGAUCCUGAUAUCGGAGACGCUCAAGGAAGAACUCCACUGCACAUUGCAGCAUCGAAAGGGCAUGAAGAGUGUGUCAUGGUGCUUCUUAGACAUGGAUGCAACAUAAAUCUCCGAGAUGUAAAUGGUCACACCGCGUUGUGGGAAGCUAUAGCAGCAAAACACCAUUCAACAUUUCACGUGUUGUACCAUUGGGCUUCCGUCUCCGAUCCCUACAUUGCUGGUGACCUCUUAUGCACAGCAGCUAGAAAAAAUGACUUAACAGUGAUGAAAGAACUCCUAAAACAUGGAUUACAAGUUGACUCGAAGGACCGCGAUGGAUCAACUGCUAUUCAUGUUGCACUGGAAGAAAAUCUUGAAGACAUGGUAAAGCUACUUCUAAUGAAUGGAGCUGAGAUAAACGAUAAGUUAAAGUACAAGCUUUCUUCAAUGAACCUAAAUGACAUGCUACAAAAGCGCGAAGUAGGACACAGAAUUAUGGUAUCCGACACAAUGGAUGAAGUUGCUCAAAAAUGGCGCCAACAAGAGAAGCAACACAAUUCAGAAAGCACUAGGGAUCAAAUGUCUUUUAGAGUUAGCAUAUACAGAGGCCAUCCUGUUAUCAGGAGAAGAACUCAUUGCAGUGAACCUGGCAAAUUAAUUACGCUUCCAAAUUCACUUGCAGAGCUCAAGAUCAUUGCAGGUCAGAAAUUUGGAUUUGAUGCAACAAAUGCAUCGAUUACGGAUCAAGAAGGAUCAGAAAUUGACUCAAUUGAAGUAAUAAGAGAUAAUGACAAGCUAUUUAUAGUUGAAGGUCCAAACUGCUUGUAGCAAUACCUAUUAGUGACACUUAAAAGUGUCUGUUAAGAUGCAUAUAUCACUAAAGAACUCAGAAGAAAAAUGUAUAGUGGACAUACAUUUCUUUCCUAUUUGUGUGGCAUAUUGAGAACCUAUUGCAGUGAUAUAUACUCAAACUUUUGCCUGAUCUUAUUGCAGUGGAAAAUCUACUGAUGGGAUCAAAAAGUUGACAUUAUUGGUGUUACUUUAGUAUAUUUGAGCCCCACACUUGCAUGAUUUA